AUCCUUAGGUUCAUGAGCGUGAUGACUGGGUGUUCAUGCUGUAUACAUAAGCUGUGCCUCCCUCACACCUUGUUACGAUGCAGGUACCUUACCUGUCUGACG